GCGCCCGCUUCAGCAGCACAGAUGCUAAAAUUGGAACAAUACAGAGAAAAUAAGCAUGGCCGCUGCGCAAGGAUGACACACAAAUUUGUGGACCAUUCCAUAUUUUU